UUUAAAGAUUGUUGGCGCUCCUCUAAUCGGUGGUGUGAGGCCUGUGGAGCUGGUGGCAGCAGAAAGCUGUGGUGCUCCCGAGUGCUGUAAUGACUGCACGGCGAGAUGUGCGGGUCUUCAUGGGAACAGCAAGGAACUGAAAGCUGCAUUUCCUGGGAUGCCCUGGAACCCCACUUUGCUGACUGGUAACUGUCUGCCCGGCAGGCAGGUCUUCAAUGACGAUAUUGGACAGAACAGGCCUGAAGAGCACUCAGGAUGGCAUACCAGCUGCAUUUAACACGAUUGAGCAGCACUCAUUAGGCCAGGCAGUUCAGCUAGUUCUUCAUCUAGCAAGCAAUGUACCCGUCCAAGUAGCCGGCUGCAAUCUUUCAGAGAAUUUUAAGGGAUAGCACAUCAAAGGGUUUGCCUCACUCAUGGGGUUGGGUCACCUUUGCUUUGAGUUUGCUACCGUGGCUGACCCUAAUCCUGUAACUGACAUCCUGUAGCUGGACAGAGACCAUUCACACUCCAUCCAGGCUGUUUGAGACUCACAGCCAUGCUGAGAGUCACACUGAUUUCAGCGUGUGCAGUCAUUUUGCAUCAACCCAAUUGGCUUUAGCUUUACAAAUAAUUUGAUCUCAACCAAAUUGGCUUUAGCUUUGCAGUUAAUGCAUUGCAAAUAAG
rnacentral:lncRNA from 1 species